UACAGAGGUCUCAAGCGUUGUUCGGAUUUACUGGGCGUAAAGGGUGCGUAGGCGGAACUUGCGGUUAACUGUGUAAGCUCAAGGCUUAACCUUGUAGUUGCAGUUAAUACCCUAGUUCUAGAAGUGUGUAGGUGAAAUUGGAAUUUUCGGUGUAGCAGUGAAAUGCGUAGAUAUCGAAAGGAACAUCAGUGGCGUAAGCGAAUUUCAAGACACAAUUUGACGUUAAAGCACGAAGGUUAAGGGAGCAAACGGG
rnacentral:rRNA from 1 species